GACGUAGGGGGCAAGCGUUACCCGGAAUUACUGGGCGUAAAGGGGGCGUAGGCGGUAAAAGAAGUCAUCUGUGAAAACCUAUUGCUCAACGAUAGGCUAGCGGAUGAAACUGAAUUACUUGAGGGCACCAGAGGUAGACGGAAUUACCCGAGUAGGGGUGAAAUCCGCAGAUACGGGUAGGAACGCCGGUGGAGAAGUCGGUCUACUGGGGUGCACCAGACGCUGAGGCCCGAAAGCUAGGGGAGCAAACCGGAUUAGAUACC
rnacentral:rRNA from 1 species